rnacentral:lncRNA from 1 species
AAUCUAUUAGACAUCACAAUAGGGGAUAAUGGUGGAAAAUUUGUGAUGUUAAAGACUGGAGACAUCUGUGUAGCAACAUCCUUCUGCUUGUUCAACUGUUCCUCCACACCAUCAGGGGAUCUUGGUUGUUUUGCAUUGUCUGGUUGCUGGACUUGAUUUCCCUGACUGCUCUGGGCCACCAGGAGCUGGAGCCUUAACUCUCCAUUCCUGUGUCAUUCUAGGCUUGACUGAGGGGGCUGUUUUAGCCAAGCAGUUAUGUCCCACCAUCAGACACUUCUCACAAUAUGAUGGCUUUCAAUCAUAUGACACAUCUUGCAUAAAGCUCUUUCCAUUGGGAUCCAUCUGUUCAAUCUCACUUGGUAAUGCCUUUGAUACAUUCACCUCAAUUAGCAUACGAGCAUAAGAGACUCUACUUUGCUUUGUCGUGCAUUCAUC